GACGAACGCUGGCGGCGUGCUUAACACAUGCAAGUCGAGCGGAAAGGCCCUUCGGGGUACUCGAGCGGCGAACGGGUGAGUAACACGUGAGUAACCUACCCCAGACUUUGGGAUAACCCUCGGAAACGGGGGCUAAUACCGGAUACGACACAGCUUCGCAUGGGGUCUGUGUGGAAAGUUUUUCGGUUUGGGAUGGGCUCGCGGCCUAUCAGCUUGUUGGUGGGGUGAUGGCCUACCAAGGCGACGACGGGUAGCCGGCCUGAGAGGGCGACCGGCCACACUGGGACUGAGACACGGCCCAGACUCCUACGGGAGGCAGCAGUGGGGAAUAUUGCACAAUGGGCGGAAGCCUGAUGCAGCGACGCCGCGUGAGGGAUGACGGCCUUCGGGUUGUAAACCUCUUUCAGCAGGGACGAAGCGUAAGUGACGGUACCUGCAGAAGAAGCGCCGGCCAACUACGUG
rnacentral:rRNA from 1 species